GGGCGUGUGGCCUAGUUUGGAUAGGGCGGCAAGCACUUGAGCUGUAGGUCGCGGGUUCAAAUCCCGCCACGUCCG
rnacentral:tRNA from 15 species